rnacentral:lncRNA from 1 species
GCAUGGUGAUUUUGCAAAAAAGAAAAAUCCUGAGAAAAUCGAGUGACAGUCCGCGGUCCUGGUCGAAACUGACGUGACAGAUACGUGACGUUUUAAGCCUCGUCGAACCAUUUUUGACUAAAGUGACACAAUAAUUUCAGUUUAGGAAUUUAAGCGUGCGUUUUUCGAAUUCGGGAACUAAAGUGUUUUUUUUACCGGGUUCCCGUAGUAUGUGUAUUUUGCUCUUGAAAACAUUGCGAGUGCAGGACCGAAGUGCGCGGAAGACCAGAGCCCUGCGCGUCCCGUCCCGCCGCUUGUGUUGACGUGAGUGGAUGCGCGCGCAGGUAGUACAGACAGUAGCGUGCAAGCUAGCAUGGCUGGUCAGCAGACUCGAUCGGGCCCCGGCCCGUCCCUGGCCGGCCGGUCGGUCGCGCGUACUACGUCGACCCCCGCUCGCUCGCUAUGGAUCAAUUCCAUCUCAUCCGUAAUUAUUAGCCAGAGCGUGACCCGGCGAUCGAGGAGCUGAUCCACGCGCCCUUUGGGCUUUGGACCGACGAGGAUAUGCUUUGACGACAUGACACUGCCCGUUCGAAAAUGAAAAAAUAAGAUCAUUUAAAAAAUAAAAUAAAAACUAAUUAGUACUACGUUUGACAGGGACGCCACAGAGAUAUGGAUGGCUAAUCACCGAGGCCGUGGCCAGGGAUCAGAAGAAACCCAUAUUGUGGAGUGCGGUCCUCCCAAACCCCAAUUGGUAAGGAUCGCGUGCACUUUCGGUAUCAUCGCCCAUCUCCAUGCUCUCCACGACCAACAGGGCGAACGGAUAAAACCGUAUAAGUCAGUCCACAUAUUGAUGAUAAAAAUGUAUUUAUUAUAGAUCAAGCUAGCAUGCACGAACCAACGUACAGGCCGGUGAAAACACGGCGCAUGCAAAUUAAGUGCCCAGACACGAUAAGAUCAAUCAAUAGGUCCAUGGACCAUGUAUCGAUCUAAUCCGAACCUCAGAUCAUUUCAGACAAUAAAAGUGGCGGCUGAUGGGACCUCCACGACGAAGCUGACCACAAGAGUCAACACAGAGAGAGAUUGCCAGC